rnacentral:rRNA from 1 species
CUGAAUGGGGAAACCCGGCUGGACAGACUCCAGUCAUCCAUACGCCAAUCCAUAACGUAUGGAAGGGAACCCGGUGAACUGAAACAUCUAAGUAGCCGGAGGAAGAGAAAGAAAAAUCGAUUUCCAAAGUAGCGGCGAGCGAAAUGGAAAGAGCCCAAACCGGAGUGCGUGCAUUCCGGGGUUCGGACCGCAUAAUUGAUUCAACAAAUUUAGCAGAACGGUUUUGGGAAAGCCGGCCAGAGAGGGUGAAAGCCCCGUAAGCGAAAGACGAGUUGACAUGGCGGGAUCCAGAGUACCACGAGACACGUGGAACCUUGUGGGAAAUCAGGGGGACCACCCCCUAAGGCUAAAUACUACUUAGUGACCGAUAGCGCAUAGUACUGUGAAGGAAAGGUGAAAAGGACCCCGGGAGGGGAGUGAAAGAGAACCUGAAACCCUGUGUUUACAAGCUGUGGAAGCACUUUAUAUGUGCGACCGCGUACUUUUUGUAGAACGGUCCGGCGAGUUACGCUUACUGGCGAGGUUAAGGACUUAAGGUCCGGAGCCGAAGGGAAACCAAGUCUUAACAGGGCGGUUAUAGUCAGUAGGAGUAGACCCGAAACCGGGUGAUCUAUCCAUGUCCAGGUUGAAGCUGCCGUAAGAGGUAGUGGAGGACCGAACCCACAUCCGUUGAAAAGGGUGGGGAUGAGGUGUGGAUAGGGGAGAAAUUCCAAUCGAACCCGGAGAUAGCUGGUUCUCCUCGAAAUAGCUUUAGGGCUAGCCUCGUUUUAGUCUUAUGGAGGUAGAGCACUGAAUUUCCUAGGGGGCGUCAAAGCCUACCGAAGAAUAUCAAACUGCGAAUGGCGGACAGAUGAUGCUGGGGAGUCAGACUGCACGAGAUAAGUUGGGUGGUCAAAAGGGAAAGAGCCCAGACCUACAGCUAAGGUCCCAAAGUGUGUGUUAAGUGGAAAAGGAUGUGGGAUUUCGAAGACAACUAGGAUGUUGGCUCAGAAGCAGCCAUACAUUCAAAGAGUGCGUAAUAGCUCACUAGUCGAGAGGUCCUGCGCCGAAAAUGUCCGGGGCUGAAACACAACACCGAAGCUGUGGAAUCAUACCUAGUAUGAUUGGUAGAGGAGCAUUCUUAAGACCGACGAAGCUGUACCGGUAAGGAGCAGUGGAGGGAUAAGAAGAGAGAAUGCCGGAAUGAGUAGCGAGAGGAAGGUGAGAAUCCUUCCGGCCGAAUAUCUAAGGUUUCCAGAGUAAAGCUGAUCUGCUCUGGGUAAGUCGGGGCCUAAGGAGAGGUCGCAAGACGUAUCCGAUGGACAACAGGUUUAGAUUCCUGUACCACAUAUGGUCAGAACUGUGGGGACGCAGAAGGAAAGCAUGAGCCAGGAAUGGAAAGACUGGUACAAGCAGAGGGGAUGGUGUGCUGGCAAAUCCGCACACGAAAGUCCUUGCUGUGAUGUGGAGCGAACCAAAGUAGCGAAGCAUGCAGACCGGCUGCCGAGAAAAGCCGCUAUUGUGCCAUAUGUGCCCGUACCGUAAACCGACACAGGUGGAUGAGGAGAGAAUCCUAAGGCCGACGGAAGAAGCAUUGUUAAGGAACUCGGCAAAAUGACCCCGUAACUUCGGGAGAAGGGGUGCCUGAGAAAUCAGGCCGCAGAGAAUAGGCUCAAGCAACUGUUUAGCAAAAACACAGGUCUAUGCAAAACCGAAAGGUGAGGUAUAUGGGCUGACGCCUGCCCGGUGCUGGAAGGUUAAGAGGAGAGGUUAGCGCAAGCGAAGCUUUGAAUUUAAGCCCCAGUAAACGGCGGCCGUAACUAUAACGGUCCUAAGGUAGCGAAAUUCCUUGUCGGGUAAGUUCCGACCCGCACGAAAGGCGUAAUGAUUUGGGCACUGUCUCGACAAUGCACCCGGUGAAAUUGAAAUACCAGUGAAGAUGCUGGUUACCUGCGCCAGGACGGAAAGACCCCAUGGAGCUUUACUCCAGUUUGAUACUGGGAUUCGGUACUGUCUGUACAGGAUAGGUGGGAGGCUAGG